GGGAUGAGGAAUGUGGCUCCCUCCAGCAGCUGUUGGACUCUCCCUUUCUACUCUGGCUGUCUUAAGCAAAAGGACGCCCAGUCACAUAACCAAGUGGGCUACCAAUAUACCCGCAGCAGCUGUCGGGAACACUCCAUAGACACCUUGACAAGCUACAGGAGGAUGGCAGCUGGUUGUCCCUGGCUCCUGAUGGUGCAGUCUCAGCCAGAGCUCUUUGAAACAGAGUGUACUGAACUUUUUGCUAUCACAAGUCUCAAAGAACUAGUGGCCUUGCUGAGCUGGUAAAGCGAGGAACACAGCAGCAGCAGAGACAGCAGAAGGGUGGCGGUGAUGGCAGAGGCAGCAGAACCCCAGUGGCAGUAACAACUCAGCCAUCAGCAGGUCGUGGUGUGAAUGCAGCAGAAGCAGCAGCUCCACACUGUGCAGUGCCCAGGUCAAGAUGUAAGAACUCUCAGCUCCUUCUCCAGCACCAUGUCUGCCUUGCUUCCUGCCAUGAUG